rnacentral:rRNA from 1 species
AAUUAAAAAAUUUGGCGGUAUUUUAGUCUUUUCAGAGGAACCUGUUCUGUAAUUGAUAGUCCACGAUUAAUUGUACUUACUUUAAAAAUUUAUAUAUCGUCGUAGUUUGAAUGUUUUAUUAGAAUAAAUAAUGUUCAUGAUUUAUAAUUAUAAAAAAAAUCAGAUCAAGGUGUAGUUAAUAAGUAAGAAGAAAUGGGUUACAUUUAAUUUAUUAUUGAAUUAUUUUAUGAAAAUAAAGUUUGAAAUUGGAUUUGAAAGUAAAUUUAAAAAUUUAUUUAAAUUGAUUUAAGCUCUAAAAUAUGCACAUAUUGCCCGUCACUUUCGUUUUAAAAUGAGAUAAGUCGUAACAAAGUAGAUUUACUGGAAAGUGAAUCUAGAAG